ACGACAUGGCGAUCGGAGACUACCCGGCCGAAUAUAAUCCCAAAGUUCACGGGCCCUACGACCCGGCGCGCUACUACGGCAAGCGUAAGCUCGUCCGCA
rfam:Ixodes scapularis strain Wikel colony gcontig_1108378777766, whole genome shotgun sequence.